UACGUAGGGGGCAAGCGUUGUCCGGAUUUACUGGGCGUAAAGAGCGUGUAGGCGGCCAAGCAGGUCCGUUGUGAAAACUGGAGGCUUAACCUCCAGACGUCGACGGAAACCGCGUGGCUAGAGUCCGGAAGAGGAGAGUGGAAUUCCUGGGUGUAGCGGUGAAAUGCGCAGAUAUCAGGAAGAACACCAAUGGCGAAGGCAGCUCUCUGGGACGGUACUGACGCUGAGACGCGAAAGCGUGGGGAGCGAACAGG
rnacentral:rRNA from 1 species